GGGUGAGUAACACGUAUGCAACCUGCCUGUAAGAGGGGAAUAACCCGGUGAAAGACGGACUAAUACCGCAUAAUACUAAAUUACUGCAUGGUAAUUUAUUUAAACAUUUAUGGCUUACAGAUGGGCAUGCGCAUGAUUAGAUAGUUGGAGAGGUAACGGCUCCCCAAGUCAACGAUCAUUAGGGGUUCUGAGAGGAAGGUCCCCCACACUGGUACUGAGACACGGACCAGACUCCUACGGGAGGCAGCAGUGAGGAAUAUUGGUCAAUGGGCGAGAGCCUGAACCAGCCAAGUCGCGUGCAGGAAGAAUGUCCUAUGGAUUGUAAACUGCUUUUGCAGGGGAAUAAAGUGAGCCACGUGUGGUUUUUUGUAUGUACUCUGCGAAUAAGGAUCGGCUAACUCCGUGCCAGCAGCCGCGGUAAUACGGAGGAUCCGAGCGUUAUCCGGAUUUAUUGGGUUUAAAGGGUGCGUAGGCGGGAUAAUAAGUCAGUGGUGAAAGUUUGCAGCUUAACUGUAAAAUUGCCGUUGAAACUGUUAUUCUUGAGAGUAGAUAAGGUAGGCGGAAUGUGUUGUGUAGCGGUGAAAUGCAUAGAUAUAACACAGAACCCCGGUUGCGAAGGCAGCUUACCGGGCUACAUCUGACGCUGAUGCACGAAAGCGUGGGGAUCAAACAGGAUUAGAUACCCUGGUAGUCCACGCAGUAAACGAUGAAUACUAGCUGUAUGCGAUAUAUUGUAUGUGGCAAAGCGAAAGCAUUAA
rnacentral:rRNA from 1 species